rnacentral:tRNA from 1 species
GCGGCGGUAGUCUAGCCUGGUAGGACACCAAGCACACCCGCUGGGGGUCCCGGGUUCAAAUCCCGGCCGCCGCA